GCCACAAACAGGGAUAGAUAAAAGAUAAUCAGCUCAAAAAUGUCACCUACGGCUCACAGACUUAUAAGAUAAAUAGAACAAUUAAGGAAACUGAGGCUCAGCGAUACUAAAUGACUUACCCAAGGUCACUCAGCAACCUAACAUCAGAGCUAGGAUGCAGCCCAGAUCUCUUGACUCCCAUUUCCAUAUUCUUUCCAUUAGUCUUCACUGCCUCUCUACCAAUAUAAACAUGAUGACGCUGAGGAUGAUGAUGAUUAUGAUGAUGAAGAAUUCUCCCAUUAUGAACCACAGCAGGAGCCUUUAUAGAAGCGCUGAAUGAUUUUCGCCAAUAAGAAAUGCCAUCAUGCAAUUCUUCAAAGUGACUCCAUUUUCAUUUAAGAAAUACUGUCAUCCAGCCUGAAUUGGACAAGGGAGCAAAACAAGCUCCCGCUUUGACUUUCAACCCACCGAGCUGCCGUGAGAGCCGUGGUAGCCAAAGGAGCGAUGACAUGAUUUCCCCAAUCUGUGUUAAUAAUGAAAGUGAGUCUAAUUGAAGAAGAGAAGGAAGACGUAUAUAAUGGAUUCGUACCUCAGGCGUAUUUUGUAUCGACGAUGGGAGCUCCUCCUUGAGAUUAGAAUAAAACGUCGCUCGUUCAAGUAUGAGGAAAACGAGAGCAUAUUUAAUAACGGAGAAUGAGCAGUAUACACAGAAAAGGUGUUUGUAACGUCGUAUAAAAUUAAAGGCUCAAGGAAGCGUGAAAAUUAAACAGAUCGGCUCAAUCGGCAAUGCUCUGACGGUACGAAUGCAGGACCCCAAAUGACUAACCAUCCUUUUAAAUAUGUCUUUGAUAGAAACGAAUGUACGGAAGGAACACGGGGCAAAACUAUGUGAUUUUGAGACUCCGCAUGCCCGGAUUCCAAUAUUCGUGUGGCAUCUGAACUUUUCACCAUUUUCAGUCAGUCAAUCAGUGGUACUUAUUGAGCACCUGCUACGUGCAGGGAACUAUACUAAGCGCUCGGGAGAAUGCAGGAGAUCUGGUUGACAGAAUCUCUGGUCUAGAGGGAGACAUAAAUGCAGAUGGGGGAAUUGGCAGGUUAGAAGGAUAAGUACAUCAGUGCUGAGGGGUUAAGGGUGGGAUGAGUUAUCAGGUGCAUAAAGUGUCUGCAGUCAGACUCGGUCAUCUGUAGACUUUUUUUCAGUUUAGAAAUGGUCAUUCACAAGUGUCUGUCUUCUCCGUUGACUUUCGACAUACGAGACAAACUGCCGCUAUUGUGGAAUUGAGGGCCCGGGGAACAGACUGUGGAUUUUAUGUUUGCCCGUUCAGAAUAGACUCGAUCCAGACCGUAACCGUUUUCUUGGCUCCUGUUCUGUAAAAUGGUUGCCUUUUAUAAACUAUCCAGAUUGAGGCAAAUAUUGUGGUCUGUUUCUUGUUUGAGAAGGCAGCCUGGCCCAGUAUUGGAAAGAGCUUGG